rnacentral:rRNA from 1 species
UACAGAGGUCUCAAGCGUUUGUUCGGAUUCAUUGGGCGUAAAGGGUGUGUAGGUGGCGCGCUAAGUCGGGUGUGAAAUUUCGGAGCUUAACUCCGAAAACUGCAUUCGAUACUGGCGUGCUUGAGGACUGGAGAGGAGACUGGAAAUUCAUGGUGUAGCGGUGAAAUGCGCAGAUAUCAGGAGGAACACCGGUGGCGAAGGCGGGUCUCUGGGCCGAUACUGACGCUGAGGAGCGAAAGCGUGGGGAGCGAACAGG